rnacentral:rRNA from 1 species
CAGCGCCACAAGUGGCAAUCACGUUUAUUGGGCCUAAAGCGUCCGUAGCCGGUUUAGCAAAUCUUUUGUGAAAUCGUCAGGCUUAACUUGACGAAUUGCAGAAGACACUACCAAACUAGGGACUGGGAGGAGUCAGAAGUAUUCUGGGGGGACCGGUAAAAUGGUAUAAUCCCCAGAGGACUACCGAUGGCGAAGGCAUCUGACCAGAACAGAUCCGACGGUGAGGGACGAAAGCCAGGGGAGCAAACCGGAUUAGAUACCCGAGUAGUCC